UACGUAGGUGGCAAGCGUUGUCCGGAUUUACUGGGCGUAAAGAGCGCGCAGGCGGUCGAUCAAGUCGCGUGUGAAAGCCCCCCGGCUCAACUGGGGAGGGUCACGCGAUACUGAUCGACUCGAAGGCAGGAGAGGGUAGUGGAAUUCCCGGUGUAGUGGUGAAAUGCGUAGAUAUCGGGAGGAACACCAGUGGCGAAGGCGACUACCUGGCCUGUUCUUGACGCUGAGGCGCGAAAGCUAAGGGGAGCAAACAGGG
rnacentral:rRNA from 1 species